rnacentral:rRNA from 1 species
UACAGAGGGUGCGAGCGUUAAUCGGAAUUACUGGGCGUAAAGCGUGCGUAGACGGUCAUGUAAGUCGGGUGUGAAAGCCCCCGGCUCAACUGGGGAGGGUCACUCGAUACUGAUCGACUUGAAGGCAGGAGAGGGAAGCGGAAUUCCCGGUGUAGUGGUGAAAUGCGUAGAUAUCAGGAGGAACACCAGUGGCGAAGGCGGCUUCCUGGCCUGUUCUUGACGCUGAGGCGCGAAAGCUAGGGGGAGCAAACGGG